rnacentral:rRNA from 1 species
UACAGAGGUCCCAAGCGUUUGUUCGGAUUCAUUGGGCGUAAAGGGUGUGUAGGUGGCGCCGUAAGUCGGGUGUGAAAUUUCGGAGCUUAACUCCGAAACUGCAUUCGAUACUGCGGUGCUUGAGGACUGGAGAGGAGACUGGAAUUCAUGGUGUAGCAGUGAAAUGCGUAGAGAUCAUGAGGAAGACCAGUGGCGAAGGCAGCUCUCUGGGACGGUACUGACGCUGAGACGCGAAAGCGUGGGGAGCGAACAGG